rnacentral:tRNA from 1 species
UAUUAACUGUAAAGAUUACAUUAUUAAAUUCUAAAUUUAACGCACUAUUUCUGCCAAAUUAAU